GGAGCAAAUCGGGUGAUCGCGUCUGAUUGCCAUGACGGAGUGAUGUAUGUGCUCUGCUUGAGCAACAGAUGAGGAAAGUCCGCACUCCACAGGGCAGGGUGCCUCGUAAUUCGAGGGAGGCGAAAGCCUAUGGAAAGUGCAACAGAAAAAAUACCGUCUGCUAACGGCAGAUAAGGGUGAAAUGGCGAGGUAAGAGCUCACCGCUCAGCCUGUGAAGGCUGGGGCAUGGUAAACCCCACCCGGAGCAAGACCAAAUAGAGGGAAGAAGUUGCCCGCUUCGAUCAACUCGCAUCUUCGAUGCGUGGAAUCCUCGGGUAGGUUGCAUGAGCUAUCUGGUGACAGAUUGCCAAGAUAAAUGAUCACCGAAAACAGAAUGCGGCUUAUAGAUUUGCUUCGGAU
rnacentral:RNase_P_RNA from 1 species